rnacentral:rRNA from 1 species
UACGAAGGGGGCUAGCGUUGUUCGGAAUUACUGGGCGUAAAGCGCACGUAGGCGGACAUUUAAGUCAGGGGUGAAAGUCCCGGGGCUCAACCUCGGAACUGCCUUUGAUACUGGGUGUCCUGAGUAUGGAAGAGGUAAGUGGAAUUGCGAGUGUAGAGGUGAAAUUCGUAGAUAUCAGGAAGAACACCCGUGGCGAAGGCGGCUCUCUGGGACGGUACUGACGCUGAGACGCGAAAAGCGUGGGGGAGCGAACAGG